AGAGGUAGUAACUGGCCUUUAUUUGACGGUAAUCAACCAGAAAGUCACGGCUAACUACGUGCCAGCAGCCGCGGUAAUACGUAGGUGGCAAGCGUUGUCCGGAUUUAUUGGGCGUAAAGCGAGCGCAGGCGGAAGAAUAAGUCUGAUGUGAAAGCCCUCGGCUUAACCGAGGAACUGCAUCGGAAACUGUCGAACUAGAGUGUCGGAGAGGUGAGUGGAAUUCCUAGUGUAGCGGUGAAAUGCGUAGAUAUUAGGAGGAACACCAGUGGCGAAGGCGGCUCACUGGACGAUAACUGACGUUGAGGCUCGAAAGCGUGGGGAGCAAACAGGAUUAGAUACCCUGGUAGUCCACGCCGUAAACGAUGUGUACUAGGUGUUGGGGAGCAAAGCUCUUCGGUGCCGUCGCAAACGCAGUAAGUACACCACCUGGGGAGUACGUUCGCAAGAAUGAAACUCAAAGGAAU
rnacentral:rRNA from 1 species